GAUGAACGCUGGCGGCGUGCCUAAUACAUGCAAGUCGAGCGAACAGAUGAGGAGCUUGCUCCUCUGACGUUAGCGGCGGACGGGUGAGUAACACGUGGAUAACCUACCUAUAAGACUGGGAUAACUUCGGGAAACCGGAGCUAAUACCGGAUAAUAUAUUGAACCGCAUGGUUCAAUAGUGAAAGACGGUUUUGCUGUCACUUAUAGAUGGAUCCGCGCCGCAUUAGCUAGUUGGUAAGGUAACGGCUUACCAAGGCAACGAUGCGUAGCCGACCUGAGAGGAUGAUCGGCCACGCUGGAACUGAGACACGGUCCAGACUCCUACGGGAGGCAGCAGUAGGGAAUCUUCCGCAAUGGGCGAAAGCCUGACGGAGCAACGCCGCGUGAGUGAUGAAGGUCUUCGGAUCGUAAAACUCUGUUAUUAGGGAAGAACAAAUGUGUAAGUAACUAUGCACGUCUUGACGGUACCUAAUCAGAAAGCCACGGCUAACUACGUG
rnacentral:rRNA from 1 species